CGGACGGUGGCGCUGGGUGGCCACGGAGGUCCCGCGCUCCCCGACCGAGAUAGGGCGGGCCCUAUUUCGGGGAGAUGUUGGGCACCAACAUUUUUUAAAGCCCCGUGGGUGGUUCUCCGGGAUCUCCCAGACCGAGAGGGCCUGAACGUCCAGACCUCAGGGAAUGGGGUCGAAGGGGCGGCGCUCGUCCGCGGAGGUGGGCGGGAGCGGCCCGGGGCCUCCGGCCUCUAGAGAGCGGGAGUGACCCUCGGUUUCUGGCCUCCGAGGGGCGGGAGCGAUCCUCAGCCAUGUCCCUAGUGUCUGGCUUCCGGCUGAUUUUUAAAUUUUUGGUAGAGGCGGGAUCUUGCUCUGUUGCCCAGGCUGGUCUCGAACUUGUGGCCUCAAGCGAUCCUACCUCCUCGGCCUCCCCAAGUGCGGAGAUUACAGACAGAGCCACUGCGCACGGCCGUGGUCAGCUUUGAAAGCUGGGUAGAUCCCUUUGGCUCAUACGCCUUUCUGCUAGCUUACCCUGAUUCUGCUUCUGGUUCAGAUAGUAUUUUAAUAUUUCUAGUGUGUCUUUUUCUAAGAUAUCUGAAAUCUUUUUGUGGAAUGAAGUGGCAUGAAAAAUAAACCAAUAAUCAUUACCAGGUACUGAGCCCUUCAAUUGAGGUCUAAACCCUCCACCCUCUCCCUCCGGGAUUGCCAAGCCUGUGGUUUCAGUUCCAUGCUCCCAGGCGACACCCUCUGUCUCUGAGUUGUGGGAGCCUUCCUCCUUCAGUCUGCAUGUACUGAAGCCAGUGUUUGCCGUACCAGCCCCUCAGCCGCAGCAGCCCACAGUGAGGUGCAGGUGCUCACGCCAUCGCCCCAGAGAGCUCCUCCAUUCGCCCCUCCACCCGUAGCCCCUCGAAACCACUGCCCUGCUCCCCGACACGGUACACUGUCUUCUCCAAGAUGUCAUGUGUUGGCAUCCUUUGGCCUGUGCCCACCGAAACUAGCUUCCUUCAACGGGCAUGUAGCCUGGGAGACCUGGGGCAUUUGGGUGCAUCUUUCCACUGCUGGUUGGUGCCCCCUGUGUGGAAGCAUCCGCGUUAGUUCACGCCUUCUCCUGCUCCUGCCGACGGACAUUUUGUUUUCUUCCAGUUAUUGGCAAUGAGGAAUGAGGCCUAAACACUUGUGUGCAGGUUUGUGUGUGCACGUUUAAGUUUUCCCUUGGGGGACAUUUCAGCAGUGGGGUUGCUGGAUGACAUGGUAAGGAUGUGCUUAACUUCGUAAGAAACUCCAGGACCACUUUCCAGCAUGGCGGGACCCCUCCCAUUCCCACUGCAGCUUAUGAGGGUCCCAGUUCCUCUGCAUCAUCACUAGAACCUGGGUUGGCCCAUGGGUUUUGUCUGUUUUUAGCCAUUUUAAUGGAUUUGCAGAGGUACUGCUGACUGGCAUUUCUCCAGCAUCUCUAUGAUGUUGAGCCUCUUUCUCGGGCAAUAUGCCCUCCUUAUACCUUCUUUGAUGAGGCCUCCGUUCCAAUAUUGGCCCUCUCUUUAAUACUGGGGUUUUUACUUUCUUAUGGUUAAGUUUUGAUGGUUCUUCAUAUAUCCUGCGUGCCAGUAGGUUGUGAGACGUGUGAUUCACAAAUGUUUAUUUCUAGACCAUAGUUCAUGUUUCAUUCUCUUUGGAUUUUUAUAUUGCUUUAUAGAAUUAUAAUUUUAAA
ensembl:lncRNA novel transcript